GACGAACGCUGGCGGCGUGCUUAACACAUGCAAGUCGAACGGAAAGGCCCUGCUUUUGUGGGGUGCUCGAGUGGCGAACGGGUGAGUAACACGUGAGUAACCUGCCCUUGACUUUGGGAUAACUUCAGGAAACUGGGGCUACUACCGGAUAGGAGCUCCUGCUGCAUGGUGGGGGUUGGAAAGUUUCGGCGGUUGUGGAUCGACUGGCGGCUUAUCAGCUUGUUGGUGGGGGAGUGGCUUACCAAGGCUUUGACGGGUAGCCUGCCUGAGAGGGUGAACGGCCACAUUGGGACUGAGAUACGGCGCAGAGUCCUACGGGAGGCAGAGGUGGGGAAUAUUGCACAAUGGGCGGAAGCGUGAGGCAGCAACGCUGCGUGCGUGAUGACGGUCUUCGGGUUGGAAAGCGCUUUAGCCUGUGACGAAGCGUGAGUGACGGUAAUGGGUAAAGAAGCACCGGCUAACUACGUG
rnacentral:rRNA from 1 species